rnacentral:lncRNA from 1 species
AAUUGCUGUACUAGAAAUCACAAUUAAAAUAGGUCAUUUUAUGUGUGUCUAUAACAGCAAUCAAAGUGCAGUGGUGGUUUAAGUGUUUUAAAAUGGCUAAGCCAAGUCAUUUUCUCACAUGGCUGGUUUUGAUAUGUAAAUAAUAAAAAACACGGUAUGUGCAUUUAUGCUUUUAGAAAUAUAUGAUUUGUUACUAGGAGUAACUUUUAAGAAUUAUUACAUGUUGGCUUAUUUUAUUCACACAGAAAAUGAUGAUGAAACUACCCUCAGAAUCCAAAAACUAGAAUGGGUCAGCCUUCACGUGUGUCAGUUAAUGCAUCUGCCAUGCUCUGGCCAGAGAUGAGCUACCGAGUAAGACUAACUAAAUACUGCUGGUGGAGCAAAAUCAUUUUGAGAAAAUGCUGCAAACCUGAUAUUUUGAUCGAAUGCCUGAAAGUGGAUUUGCAAUUUUGUGUUAUUUGACUACUUUUUGAAAAUAGCAUUUCUAAUUCUGUAGAGCAAAGUUAUUAACAACAACAAUAACAAAUGUAAUUAAUGGAUAUAUAGACAAAUAUUCAGUAACAUUAAAAAUUAGUUUUCAAGAUAAUGUGAUUAUUCCUGUAUUUCUUCAAAUCACUGUGACCAAUUGACUGGUAUUUCAUAGCAAGAAUGUGUAGGUCUUUUGGGCAAAACCUGACAUUUACUGUCUUGGCUGAGACAGAUCCAGCACAAAUGGCAUGUUAAUAAUGGCAAAUAGCAAAAUGUUAGAUGAAAGGCUCUAUAUGACAGGCAAUAUGAAGAUAUAAGGUGGGUCCAUUUUAUUCAGAUUUUUCUUUUGCUUCAUCUAGCUAUAUAGUUCACUAAGCUGAGGCUGAAACAAUGAUGAAUAUUAUUAAGUUAGAUGGCUUAUACUCCGCACCCUGAUGUCUUCCUAUCAUUUGGGCACUCAGAUGGCUUUGUAUUCUAAUCUAUUACUAUCACAGACUUUCUCUGACAACCUAAUGAGUUACUGUCAUUAGUUUUAUCUUUAAUUUGACCACAUCUGGGUGUUCAGUAGGGAUGUGAAAUUAAUAAUGUGCAAGUUCUUGAACACUCUUUGACAUAGCGCUUUCACAUAACUUAUCACCUUCUCACAAUGUAUUUUUAAGUACAUUUUUCAGUGAAAAUAUUGGUAUCUGGCAGUGUUCAAAUAUGUUGGUACCAGCUUUUG